rnacentral:tRNA from 1 species
AGCUCAGCUGGAUAGAGCGUCGGUCUACGAAACCGAAGGUCGCAAGUUCGAAUCUUGCC